UAUAUAAAAAUGCUAAUCUGUUUUAAAAAUGGUAAUUUGUUUUUGAAAAAUGACCGCCGUCUAUUAAGAUUUUUUCCAUCCGUUGUUUCGAAAAAUUUCAACAUGUACUAAACAAUAUUCACCGGGUAUGUAGAAAAUGUUUGUCAUGCAUUAAAAAAUUAUUAGCACGUAUUAAAACCUGACCAUGUAUUUUAAAAGUAGUCAAGGAUAUUUUGAAAU
rnacentral:lncRNA from 1 species